rnacentral:rRNA from 1 species
GACGAACGCUGGCGGCGUGCUUAACACAUGCAAGUCGAACGGAGUUGCGAACGGGUGAGUAACACGUAGGUGAUCUGCCUUGCACUUCGGGAUAAGCUUUGGAAACUAGGGCUAAUACCGGAUAGUGCAUGACGAGCUGGUGGCCUAUCGGCUGGUUGGUGGGGUAAUGGCCUACCAAGGCGUCGACGCGUAGCCGGCCUGGGAGGGUGUACGGCCACAUUGGGACUGAGAUACGGCCCAGACUCCUACGGGGGGAAGCAGUGGGGAAUAGUGCAAGAUGGGCGGAAGCCUGAAGCAACGACGCCGCGUGGGGGAUGAAGGCCGUCGGGUAGUAAACUCCGUUCGACAGGAACGCGGUACCUAUAUAAGAAGCACCGGCUAACUACGUGCCAGCAGCCGCGGUAAUUC